GGAGUCUGGGCCGUAUCUCAGUCCCAAUGUGGCCGUUCAACCUCUCAGUCCGGCUACUGAUCGUCGCCUUGGUAGGCCGUUGCCCCACCAACUAGCUAAUCAGACGCAAGGCCAUCUAUUAGCGGAUUGCUCCUUUUCUAGCCAGAUCAUGCGAUCCUACUAGCUUAUGCGGUAUUAGCAAUGAUUUCUCACUGUUAUUCCCCUCUGAUAGGCAGGUUCCUUACGUGUUACUCACCAGUCCGCCACUAAAGCCAUUGUUAUGAAACUUCAAUCUGAUAAAUCGUCAAUCUGUUUUAUAACGACUUCCGUUCGACUUGCAUGUCUUAUGUGCGCCGCCAGCGUUUAUC
rnacentral:rRNA from 1 species